AUUUUUAUUUGUUUCAUUACAUGAUUUGUAAGGUUCAUAAACGUUCCAUAUAGUGGAGAGAAUAUAAAUAGAUAAGCUUUAAUUAAGAGUUAAUGAUUAGAAGUAGAACGAAAUGGUGAAAUUCAAAACAAAUAUGCUGAAAGUAUUUUUCCUGAUUCUUGCAAUUACUCAAAUAAGUUUAGCUUCUAUUUGCCUUCCUGAUUGCACGGAUGCUCAAUGUACACAAGACAUUUGUCCUGAAGGCACAAGACCGGUAUUUGUAGGGUGUGAUUGUUGCAAGACGUGUGAAAAAGUCUUAAAAAAAGGAGAAACCUGUACGAUUCGAGCUGAACCUUUGAUUCAACCUGAAAUAGACACCGGAGAUCGAGUUUCAAUCAGUUAUCCCCGUUGUGGCUUUAGUCUUCGCUGCGAUUCUCAAACACGCACAUGCGUUUAAGACUUUUACUGUGUAAAAAAUGUUAUUUAUUUGCGGUUAAGAAAUAAAAUAGCAUGAGCUUAAAAAAUAAA